GAUGAACGCUGGCGGCGUGCCUAAUACAUGCAAGUCGAGCGAACAGACGAGGAGCUUGCUCCUCUGACGUUAGCGGCGGACGGGUGAGUAACACGUGGAUAACCUACCUAUAAGACUGGGAUAACUUCGGGAAACCGGAGCUAAUACCGGAUAAUAUAUUGAACCGCAUGGUUCAAUAGUGAAAGACGGUUUUGCUGUCACUUAUAGAUGGAUCCGCGCCGCAUUAGCUAGUUGGUAAGGUAACGGCUUACCAAGGCAACGAUGCGUAUCCGACCGGAGAGGGUGAUCGGCCACACGGGAACUGAGACGCGGUCCAGGCUCCUACGGGAGGCAGCAGUAGGGAAUCGUCCGCAAUGGGCGAAAGCCUGACGGAGCAACGCCGCGUGAGUUAUGAAGGUCUUCGGAUCGUAAAACUCUGUUAUUAGGGAAGAACAAAUGUGUAAGUAACUAUGCACGUCUUGACGGUACCUAAUCAGAAAGCCACGGCUAACUACGUG
rnacentral:rRNA from 1 species